UACGUAGGGGGCGAGCGUUGUCCGGAAUUAUUGGGCGUAAAGGGCUCGUAGGCGGUUUGUCGCGUCGGGAGUGAAAACCUUGGGCUUAACUCAGGGCUUGCUUUCGAUACGGGCAGACUAGAGGUAUGCAGGGGAGAACGGAAUUCCUGGUGUAGCGGUGAAAUGCGCAGAUAUCAGGAGGAACACCGGUGGCGAAGGCGGUUCUCUGGGCAUGAUCUGACG
rnacentral:rRNA from 1 species